rnacentral:lncRNA from 1 species
ACAAGCUAAAUGGAGACUUGGGUGUCCUAUGCCUUUGCAUGGCUCGCCACUGUAUCCCUUAUCCUGCUAGCCAGCCGUCUCCGCCGCCGCAAACUCAACCUUCCACCUGGCCCAAAACCCUGGCCCAUAAUUGGAAACCUCAACCUCAUAGGCGAACUCCCACACCGUUCCCUCCAUGCACUCUCUCAAAAAUAUGGCCCCAUUAUGCAAGUCCAGUUUGGAUCAUUCCCGGUUGUGGUUGGCU